CAGCUCUCGUAUCACACUGUGGGGGGCUACACUGAGAAUUCCUAAGUGCUUAUUUUGCAAGAAAACAACACAGGGUCAAGAAAUGUGAGUCAUGAGACCAGUACAGUUGUUUCAUCCAGAUGGGACUCAUCAGUGUAUAUAUGGUUGCUGUCUAAUAGUGAUUCAGGUUACAUGAGCCGGCCUUGGCUCAUUACUCCAUUGCGUAACCCAGCUGACGAUGCCUAGAUGCGCUAUAAUUGGGCGCACAAGCGGACCAGGGCUGUAGUGGAUCGGAUGUUUGGGCUCCUCAAAAUGCGGUUACAAUGCCUGGACAGGUCUGGAGGAGCCCUCCAAUACAACCCUGGUAAGGUGGCGAAGAUCGUUAUAGCCUACAGUGUCCUUCAUAACAUAGCUCAGCGGGCUGGGAUGUUGCAGGCCGUCCAGGCACCCCAAGACCUCCUCAAAGAUGAGGAGGACAACCCAGUUUUAUAAUUGACUUCAGAUUCUAAUAUAAAAAAAUUUCUCUUACAGAUUUUGAUGAAUUCCAAAACUAAUAUAGAUUUAUUGUUUAUUCUUUUCUUUUUUUAUUAAAAAUAAAUAUCUUUACAUACUA